GCCUCCGUAGCUCAGGGGAUAGAGCACCGCUCUCCUAAAGCGGGUGUCGACAGUUCGAAUCUGCCCGGGGGCACCA
rnacentral:tRNA from 2 species